rnacentral:rRNA from 1 species
GGUUAAGCGACUAAGCGUACACGGUGGAUGCCCUGGCAGUCAGAGGCGAUGAAGGACGUGCUAAUCUGCGAAAAGCGUCGGUAAGGUGAUAUGAACCGUUACAGCCGGCGAUGUCCGAAUGGGGAAACCCAGUGCAAUUCGUUGCACUAUCGUUAACUGAAUACAUAGGUUAACGAGGCGAACCGGGGGAACUGAAACAUCUAAGUACCCCGAGGAAAAGAAAUCAACCGAGAUUCCCCCAGUAGCGGCGAGCGAACGGGGAGCAGCCCAGAGUCUGAAUCAGCUUGUGUGUUAGUGGAACGGUCUGGAAAGUCCGACGGUACAGGGUGAUAGUCCCGUACACCAAAAUGCACAGGCUGUGAACUCGAAGAGUAGGGCGGGACACGUGGUAUCCUGUCUGAAUAUGGGGGGACCAUCCUCCAAGGCUAAAUACUCCUGACUGACCGAUAGUGAACCAGUACCGUGAGGGAAAGGCGAAAAGAACCCCGGCGAGGGGAGUGAAAAAGAACCUGAAACCGUGUACGUACAAGCAGUGGGAGCACCUUCGGGUGUGACUGCGUACCUUUUGUAUAAUGGGUCAGCGACUUAUAUUCUGUAGCAAGGUUAACCGUAUAGGGGAGCCGCAGGGAAACCGAGUCUUAACUGGGCGUUAAGUUGCAGGGUAUAGACCCGAAACCCGGUGAUCUAGCCAUGGGCAGGUUGAAGGUUGGGUAACACUAACUGGAGGACCGAACCGACUAAUGUUGAAAAAUUAGCGGAUGACUUGUGGCUGGGGGUGAAAGGCCAAUCAAACCGGGAGAUAGCUGGUUCUCCCCGAAAGCUAUUUAGGUAGCGCCUCGUGAACUCAUCUUCGGGGGUAGAGCACUGUUUCGGCUAGGGGGUCAUCCCGACUUACCAACCCGAUGCAAACUACGAAUACCGAAGAAUGUUAUCACGGGAGACACACGGCGGGUGCUAACGUCCGUCGUGAAGAGGGAAACAACCCAGACCGCCAGCUAAGGUCCCAAAGUCAUGGUUAAGUGGGAAACGAUGUGGGAAGGCACAGACAGCCAGGAUGUUGGCUUAGAAGCAGCCAUCAUUUAAAGAAAGCGUAAUAGCUCACUGGUCGAGUCGGCCUGCGCGGAAGAUGUAACGGGGCUAAACCAUGCACCGAAGCUGCGGCAGCGACACUAUGUGUUGUUGGGUAGGGGAGCGUUCUGUAAGCCUGCGAAGGUGUGCUGUGAGGCAUGCUGGAGGUAUCAGAAGUGCGAAUGCUGACAUAAGUAACGAUAAAGCGGGUGAAAAGCCCGCUCGCCGGAAGACCAAGGGUUCCUGUCCAACGUUAAUCGGGGCAGGGUGAGUCGACCCCUAAGGCGAGGCCGAAAGGCGUAGUCGAUGGGAAACAGGUUAAUAUUCCUGUACUUGGUGUUACUGCGAAGGGGGGACGGAGAAGGCUAUGUUAGCCGGGCGACGGUUGUCCCGGUUUAAGCAUGUAGGCUGGUUAUCCAGGCAAAUCCGGAUAAUCAAGGCUGAGAUGUGAUGACGAAGCACUACGGUGCUGAAGUAACAAAUGCCCUGCUUCCAGGAAAAGCCUCUAAGCAUCAGGUAACAUCAAAUCG